AGGACGAACGCUGGCGGCGUGCUUAACACAUGCAAGUCGAGCGGAAAGGCCCUUCGGGGUACUCGAGCGGCGAACGGGUGAGUAACACGUGAGUAAUCUGCCUUCAGCUCUGGGAUAGCUCCGGGAAACCGGGAUUAAUACCGGAUAUGACCACUUCGGACAUCUGUUGUGGUGGAAAGUUUUUCGGCUGGAGAUGAGCUCGCGGCCUAUCAGCUUGUUGGUGGGGUAACGGCCUACCAAGGCGACGACGGGUAGCCGGCCUGAGAGGGCGACCGGCCACACUGGGACUGAGACACGGCCCAGACUCCUACGGGAGGCAGCAGUGGGGAAUAUUGCGCAAUGGGCGGAAGCCUGACGCAGCGACGCCGCGUGGGGGAUGAAGGCCUUCGGGUUGUAACCCCUUUCAGCAGGGACGAAGCGGAAGUGACGGUACCUGCAGAAGAAGCGCCGGCUAACUACGUGCCAGCAGCCGC
rnacentral:rRNA from 1 species